rnacentral:rRNA from 1 species
CGAAGGCCUUCGGGUUGUAAAGCACUUUCAGGCGAUGGAGGAAAGGUUGGUAGCUAAUAACUUGCCAGCUGUGACGUUACUCGCAGAACGAAGCACCGGCUAAGCUCCGAUGCCAGCAGCCAGCGGAUAAGUACAGGAGAGGUAGCAAGCAGUUAAAUCGGAAUACUGGAGCGUAAGCGCACGCAGGCGGUGGAUAAGUAUGUGACC